AAAUUGAAGAGUUUGAUCAUGGCUCAGAUUGAACGCUGGCGGCAGGCCUAACACAUGCAAGUCGAGCGGAAACGGCAGUAUUGAAGCUUCGGUGGAUUUACUGGACGUCGAGCGGCGGACGGGUGAGUAACGGCUGGGAACCUGCCCUGACGAGGGGGAUAACCGUUGGAAACGACGGCUAAUACCGCAUAAUGUCUACGGACCAAAGGUGGCCUCUACAUGUAAGCUAUCGCGUUGGGAUGGGCCCAGUUAGGAUUAGCUAGUUGGUAAGGUAAUGGCUUACCAAGGCGACGAUCCUUAGCUGGUUUGAGAGGAUGAUCAGCCACACUGGGACUGAGACACGGCCCAGACUCCUACGGGAGGCAGCAGUGGGGAAUAUUGCACAAUGGGGGAGACCCUGAUGCAGCCAUGCCGCGUGUGUGAAGAAGGCCUUCGGGUUGUAAAGCACUUUCAGCAGUGAGGAAGGUGGUGUACUUAAUACGUGCAUGGCUUGACGUUAGCUGCAGAAGAAGCACCGGCUAACUCCGUGCCAGCAGCCGCGGUAAUACGGAGGGUGCGAGCGUUAAUCGGAAUUACUGGGCGUAAAG
rnacentral:ncRNA from 1 species